UGCCUAUAAAAUCUAAAGACACCCCUUUUAUCUCUCUCGAAAACCCUCUCGACAAUAUUCGGCUAUCAGAAAAAGAGACCCACAAGGAAACAGAACCCUGAUCCAAGAUGAGAGCUAAGUGGAAGAAGAAGCGUAUGAGGAGGUUGAAGAGGAAGCGCAGAAAGAUGAGACAGAGAUCCAAGUAAGCUGUGGACUUGGACAGGAUGGAGCUUUCUGCUGGUAUAUGUCUUUGAUUGCCGGUGGCUUUGUGCUGCAUGAAGCUGCGAGAAUGAAGGAUGUGUAUUAGGGAAAUACUUCAUUUGUUUCAUCAUCUAGGGUUUUAAGACCUGUUUCUGCAACUAGUCUUCUGUUGGCUUAAAUUUUGUGUUGUAUUUGACUCGCUUUUGUCUUUAAUAUUACUUAUGAAUGGAAAUCACCGAAACUUGUUCAAUCUAA